GCGGGGAAUGUGUUGCCCUUAAGGCAGUUAAUCAUUUAAUAAAUAAGUUAAAUGGUUUAAAAUGUUUAAAUUAAGCAUUUCUAAGAGUUUCUUAUAAGUAUUUCAUGUGUAUUUGUAAGUUUUAUUUAAAAAAUAUUAGCGGACAUUUUGAUUCCGGUUAGGGUGCGAUAACUUCCGGUUUCGGUUUCAUGGUAAACAGAGCAGGCGAAAUCCAGCAUGGUACGGUCAGCAAUCUGUCGCCAUUCUCACUAAAGCACUGUCAAGGCAAUGCCUUUUCACCAUCUGGAGAAGAAAUUAAAAUGCAAAAACGUC